GAUGAACGCUGGCGGCGUGCCUAAUACAUGCAAAUCGAGCGAACAGAUGAGGAGCUUGCUCCUCUGACGUUAGCGGCGGACGGGUGAGUAACACGUGGAUAACCUACCUAUAAGACUGGGAUAACUUCGGGAAACCGGAGCUAAUACCGGAUAAUAUAUUGAACCGCAUGGUUCAAUAGUGAAAGACGGUUUUGCUGUCACUUAUAGAUGGAUCCGCGCCGCAUUAGCUAGUUGGUAAGGUAACGGCUUACCAAGGCAACGAUGCGUAGCCGACCUGAGAGGGUGAUCGGCCACACUGGAACUGAGACACGGUCCCGACUCCUACGGGAGGCAGCAGUAGGGAAUCUUCCGCAAUGGGCGAAAGCCUGACGGAGCAACGCCGCGUGAGUGAUGAAGGUCUUCGGAUCGUAAAACUCUGUUAUUAGGGAAGAACAAAUGUGUAAGUAACUAUGCACGUCUUGACGGUACCUAAUCAGAAAGCCACGGCUAACUACGUG
rnacentral:rRNA from 1 species